CGUGUAGGCGGGAAGGAAAGUCAGAUGUGAAAUCCCCAGGCUCAACCUGGGAACUGCAUUUGAAACUCCCUUUCUUGAGUACCGGAGAGGAAAGUGGAAUUCCUGGUGUAGAGGUGAAAUUCGUAGAUAUCAGGAGGAACACCAGUGGCGAAGGCGGCUUUCUGGACGGUAACUGACGCUGAGACGCGAAAGCGUGGGGAGAAAC
rnacentral:rRNA from 1 species